UGGGGAAUAUUGGACAAUGGGCGAAAGCCUGAUCCAGCCAUGCCGCGUGUGUUAAGAAGGUCUUCGGAUUGUAAAGCACUUUAAGUUGGGAGGAAGGGCAGUAAGCGAAUACCUUGCUGUUUUGACGUUACCGACAGAAUAAGCACCGGCUAACUCUGUGCCAGCAGCCGCGGUAAUGCAGAGGGUGCAAGCGUUAAUCGGAAUUACUGGGCGUAAAGCGCGCGUAGGUGGUUCGUUAAGUUGAAUGUGAAAGCCCCGGGCUCAACCUGGGAACUGCAUCCAAAACUGGCGAGCUGGAGUAGGGCAGAGGGUGGUGGAAUUUCAUGUGUAGCGGUGAAAUGCGUAGAUAUAGGAAGGAACACCAGUGGCGAAGGCGACCACCUGGGCUCAUACUGACACUGAGGUGCGAAAGAGUGGGGAGCAAACAGG
rnacentral:rRNA from 1 species